rnacentral:tRNA from 1 species
GCAGACAUGGCCCGGCGGGGGGAGACCCCGGGCGCACCGUGGAAACCGGAGACACCGUCGGUGAGCUAUGGUUCCGCCUUGUGUCCGCA